rnacentral:lncRNA from 1 species
ACUGAGAUCUAGGCGCCACUGGAUAAACCGCCCUCACACAUGCCAACAUCCACUGCUCCAUCCAAUAAUAUCUCGAGAAAAACUCAUGGUAGUGAAUAUCCCUGGACUUAUCUUUUUGUUCAUUGAAUUUGAUCGCCGCGACUAAUGCAUGUACGCAGAGAUACUUGUCUCAAAAUGCUUGCAAUCUGUUAACACCGUAUCUGUACCCAUUUUCACUAUUGAUUUCAAAUUUUUUUCAAAGCUUUUAAUUAGUUUUAGGAGCUUUUAUUAUAUGUUUUCUAUUUUUUUUAGUUUCAAGGCUCUUUUAGGAAACUUAGGGAAAAAAUGGCAAAAUGAAAGAAAUCCACAUUUUCAGCUCAGAGUCAGACCGUCAGAAGUUCAGCCUCAAAUGAAGAUCUUCUCACUGUCUGAUCCAGCUCAUAUUUGGAGGCAUUCAAGAGGAGACAACAAGCUUUCUAUAUCACUUUACAUCAGAACAAUCUAAACGGUGCAAUCAAAAGUUAUGUGAAGAGCAAGUUAACCAAAUUCACCAGUCCCAGAAUACUCUCACCUGCGGCAAAAGUGCAAUCCACCUGCUACGGAGGAUUCUCACCCGCGGUGGACCUAUGCCGAGCCACAAGGCCCAACAUUAAAGCCCAUUUCGUCAUUCCUCUUCAGAGAAGCCCUAAUUAAGACCUGAAAGACCUUGUGACCUAUAAAUACAUUUCUUAGCAGCCCUAAUUGGGUGUGUGCUCCUGUACUGAGUUUUUGAGCCACC